UACGGGGGGGGCAAGCGUUGUUCGGAAUUACUGGGCGUAAAGGGCGCGUAGGCGGUCUUCUAAGUCGGACGUGAAAUCCCUCGGCUUAACCGAGGAACUGCGUCCGAUACUGAAAGGCUUGAAUCCGGGAGAGGGAUGUGGAAUUCCAGGUGUAGCGGUGAAAUGCGUAGAUAUCUGGAGGAACACCGGUGGCGAAGGCGGCAUCCUGGACCGGCAUUGACGCUGAGGCGCGAAAGCUAGGGGAGCAAACGGG
rnacentral:rRNA from 1 species